rnacentral:lncRNA from 1 species
AGGCUGGACCCAGCCAGCCUCAAGGAGGGAAGAGAGGGACAUCAUGGUGGCGCUGGACUCCCUGCAGGGCUCAGCGGCUCCCUCAGGACAAGGAGAAAGCUGGGAACCCUAAGACAGAACUGGAGGUUCUCGUUGCCUAAAUCUCUCCUGGCUUGCUGCACAUGGAACCCAUUUCUUCCCAUUCAGGGCUCUGCAGAGGCAGAAGAUGAACAGUAAGAUGCAAAGAUCUGGCAACCUUCAGAGCUGGAUGUUCUCACAGAGCUACACAUGCCACAGUCAUCACUAGUUGCGAGAGUCUCCAGUGUUCAUUAAGCCUAUUUUGCUGGAAGUUUAGUCCCUGGAGGAUUAGUCCCUGCCCUUAAGGAGUGCCAAAGAAGACUUUGGAAUCUAAGUCACAUCUCCCCUGCUGCAAUUUUUUCCUCUUGAUAAUCAAGGAAUCUCACUGAUAAAACUCUCAAUGAGGAGCAGCUCUCCCCAUGAGCAAGUUCUUGCCUUCAUUGCCAGGGAGGCCCCAGCUAAGGUUAUACUGGGAAAGGAAUCUCUGGGGAGUACCUGGAAGAGGUCAGCUUCUCCUCAAAGGAAGCCUCUCCAGCUGGUGUACUGCAAAGCCUUCCAAGACCAAGUUCCCUCUUCCUGGCCUCUGGAACCAGCCUGUGUGCCAGCGCUGUGUCCCCAGUAACACACAUGAGUCUCUCCCUCAGAAGCCACAGAAGGAUGCAGAGAGAGACCAACCCAGGAUUGAUUCUCAGCACUUACUAAUUGUGUGGACAUAACUGCUCUGGACCUCAGCUUUGCUAUCUAUAAAAUGAGCACCCUUUUUAUAGAUAUGAACACUUUAAGAGAGUCAUAAAGAUUGAAGUUGAUUUGUGCUGCGCCUGGCACAGAGGUCUCCCUCAGUAAAUGGCAGCCACUGCUAUUGGGGUGCCCCAACACCCCUUGCCCCUGCCCACCAUUAGCUUUCACUUAGGCCCACACUGAGGGUGUGGCUGUUGUGUUGGGGGAAGGAAAAAAACCAUGCCUGGGUUGCAGGGCCCCCACCACCAACUGGUCUGCUUUUGUGGGAAGCAUUUUCUGAUGCCCUCGCCCUACCCGUGGGCUGGUUGACUAAGUGUCCAGCAUCAUGAGGAAAAGAGCAGGGUUCAGGGACAGCUUGGCUCAGCCCUGAAACUCAUCUGGGCCUAGGUCCAGAUGAGAGGCAAGCCUGGGAGGCCUUCCGUUGUACCCUUGCCUAUCCUGCAGCACCCUCUAGCCUGCAGGCCGCUCCUGGGUGGCAUAGCACCUUGGAUGUCAGGUGUGGGCCUUCCCAGGCACAUGGCAUGAGGGGGCACUUCUGUGGGUUGUUGGGGGCAGGAAGGGAUGUGUCUCCAGCUGGACUUGGGCUCUCGCAUUUUGGGGCCCAGCCAUGCCAGGACAGCACACAUGGGCGCUUAGUGCGAAUCUCAUGAUGGAGCAGAGGAGGAGCAAAGCAAAACCAGGGAGUCCCCAGGCCCCUGCUUCUGCCCCGCCCAGAGACAGUGGAGCAGGUGUCUCCAGCUUCUUAACCUCAACGCACAGUAAGAAAUACAUUUUACAGCAACCAAUAGACACAUACAUUUACAAAACGA